rnacentral:rRNA from 1 species
UGGGGGUAGGCUUGCUACCUGCCGGCGAGUGGCGAACGGGUGAGUAAUACAUCGGAACGUGCCCUGUAGUGGGGGAUAACUAGUCGAAAGACUAGCUAAUACCGCAUACGACCUGAGGGUGAAAGUGGGGGACCGCAAGGCCUCAUGCUAUAGGAGCGGCCGAUGUCUGAUUAGCUAGUUGGUGGGGUAAAGGCCCACCAAGGCGACGAUCAGUAGCUGGUCUGAGAGGACGAUCAGCCACACUGGGACUGAGACACGGCCCAGACUCCUACGGGAGGCAGCAGUGGGA